CCUACGGGCGGCAGCAGUGAGGAAUAUUGGUCAAUGGGCGCUAGCCUGAACCAGCCAAGUCGCGUGAAGGAUGACUGCCCUAUGGGUUGUAAACUUCUUUUAUAUGGGAAUAAAGUGCAGUAUGUAUACUGCUUUGCAUGUACCUUAUGUAUAAGGAUCGGCUAACUCCGUUCCAGCAGCCGCGGUAAUACGGAGGAUCCGAGCGUUAUCCGGAUUUAUUGGGUUUAACGGGUGCGUAGGCGGCCUGCUAAGUCAGCGGUUAAAGUCUGUGGCUCAACCAUAGAAUUGCCGUUGAAACUGGGAGGCUUGAGUAUGUUAGAGGAACGCGGAAUGCGUGGUGUAGCGGUGAAAUGCGUAGAUAUAACGCAGAACACCGAUUGCGAAGGCAGCCUGCCAGGCCAUGACUGACGCUGAGGCACGAAAGCGUGGGGAUCAAACAGGAUUAGAUACCCCAGUAGUC
rnacentral:rRNA from 1 species